CGGGAUGUAAUUCAGCGGCCAGAAGCCUUGGUUUGGGACCAAGGAGUCGUUGGUUCAAAUCCAACCAUCCCGA
rnacentral:tRNA from 1 species